AUUGAACGCUGGCGGCAUGCCUUACACAUGCAAGUCGAACGGUAACGCGGGGCAACCUGGCGACGAGUGGCGAACGGGUGAGUAAUGCAUCGGAACGUGCCCAGUAGUGGGGGAUAGCCCGGCGAAAGCCGGAUUAAUACCGCAUACGACCUACGGGUGAAAGCGGGGGACCGUAAGGCCUCGCGCAAUUGGAGAGGUCGAUGUCAGAUUAGGUUGUUGGUGGGGUAAAAGCCUACCAAGCCGACGAUCUGUAGCUGGUCUGAGAGGACGACCAGCCACACUGGGACUGAGCCACGGCCCAGACUCCUACGGGAGGCAGCAGUGGGGAAUUUUGGACAAUGGGGGCAACCCUGAUCCAGCCAUGCCGCGUGCGGGAAGAAGGCCUUCGGGUUGUAAACCGCUUUUGUCAGGGAAGAAACGCUCUGGGCUAAUACCCCGGGGUAAUGACGGUACCUGAAGAAUAAGCACCGGCUAACUACAUGCCAGCCGCCGCAGUAAUAC
rnacentral:rRNA from 1 species